rnacentral:rRNA from 1 species
UACGGAGGGUGCAAACGUUGCUCGGAAUCAUUGGGCGUAAAGCGUACGUAGGCGGACCGCUAAGUCGGAUGUGAAAUCCCUCGGCUUAACCGAGGAAGUGCAUUCGAAACUGACGGUCUUGAGUAUGGAAGAGGGUCGCGGAAUUCCCGGUGUAGAGGUGAAAUUCGUAGAUAUUGGGAAGAACACCGGUGGCGAAGGCGGCGACCUGGUCCAUUACUGACGCUGAGGCGCGACAGCGUGGGGAGCAAACAGG